UAAACGACAAAAUAAACACUUAUAAAGAAAUAUAUUUUUGAAAAUUUAAUGCUUCAUGCUCACACCAUUCAACUAAAUGCCAAAAAUCAUGAACUGAAUAAACAGCAAUAUAGUUUAAACCAUGAAAAGAAAAUUCAGAAACAUCGAAAUUACUGUUCUGACAAAAUAAUAGAGCAUCUGUGAAUUCAAAAUUUGAUAAAAAAACAGACAAAACCAUAAGGAGAUUCAAACGUAGGCAUAAUUUAGAAAAUAAAAAUAUCAAUUUAUAAAAAAAGAAAGAAAGUGAGAAAAUGACAUCCACUGAAGAUCUUGAAUUUCUUUUUAUUCUGAAAAAAAUAUAACAGUUAUUAAAAAUUAAAAAGAUUAUACCAUAGGGAACAUGUGUUCUAAGUUUCAAGUGGAUUGGACUUUAACUUUUACAUUUACUCAACCCCUCUUAAAAUUUCUAGACUUAUACUCACUUGUACAGUUUCUCAAAAAAGCAUCACCACCCCACCAGUGACUGGUUGAGAUAGUUGUUUAAAAAAUGUUGAGUAAAAUGUAUAUUUUUUUCUUGUAGGAAAUGUUUUAAAGAAUAAUAUGAUUCAAUUGAAUAAAGAAGUAAAUGAUUCCUACCACAAACAGAAC
rnacentral:lncRNA from 1 species